AUUGAACGCUGGCGGCAUGCCUUACACAUGCAAGUCGAACGGCAGCGGACCUUCGGGUGCCGGCGAGUGGCGAACGGGUGAGUAAUACAUCGGAACGUACCUUUCAGUGGGGGAUAACGUAGCGGAAGUUACGCUAAUACCGCAUAUUCUGUGAGCAGGAAAGCAGGGGAUCGCAAGACCUUGCGCUGAUUGAGCGGCCGAUGUCAGAUUAGCUAGUUGGUGAGGUAAAGGCUCACCAAGGCGACGAUCUGUAGCGGGUCUGAGAGGAUGAUCCGCCACACUGGAACUGAGACACGGUCCAGACUCCUACGGGAGGCAGCAGUGGGGAAUUUUGGACAAUGGGGGCAACCCUGAUCCAGCCAUGCCGCGUGAGUGAAGAAGGCCUUCGGGUUGUAAAGCUCUUUCGGCCGGGAAGAAAUCGCACGGGCUAAUACCCUGUGUGGAUGACGGUACCGGAAUAAGAAGCACCGGCUAACUACGUGCCAGCCGCCGCAGUAAAAC
rnacentral:rRNA from 1 species